AAGGUAAAAAUGGUCUGGUUUUGCUUGUUGUCUCUUGCAGAUUUAAUUAAAAACCAUUAGGUUUGAGGUUUGAUUUGAUGUGGGAUUUUCUAAACAUUUAAAGUUUCAUAAAUUUAUUAUAAUCCACCCAUUCAUGGAAUUGAUAGUCUUUGACAAAAUUUACAACCUUAACAAUAUCUAUGCAUGAUUUUAAAGGGAAAGUUUCUUCAUACCUGUGUUUGAUUGGCAAGAUGGUAAUAUGCAACUAGGCAUAUACGUAUGUACCAAUGCUUCUGUUUUAUAUUUCACUGGGAAAUUGCUCAUGCU
rnacentral:misc_RNA from 1 species